ensembl:lncRNA
CGGGGAGACAGAGGUUAGUGGGGAGACAGAGGUUAGUAGGGAGACAGAGGUUAGUGGGGAGCAUUAAUAGUGGGGACGCAGAGGUUAGUAGGGAGACAGAGGUUAGUGGGGAGCAUUAAUAGUGGGGACGCAGAGGUUUGUAGGGAGACAGAGGUUAGUAGGGAGGCAGAGGUUAGUAGGGAGACAGGCUAGUAGGGAGACAGAGGUUAGUAGGGAGACAGAGGUUAGUAGGGAGACAGAGGCUGGUAGGGAGACAGAGGUUGGUAGGGAGGCAGAGGUUAGUAGGGAGGCAGAGGUUAGUAGGGACGCAGAGGUUAGUAGGGAGACAGAGGGUAGUAGGGAGACAGAGGUUAGUAGAGAGACAGAGGUUAGUGGGGAGUCGGAGGUUAGUAGAGAGACAUAAUAGUGGGGAGACCGAGGUUGGUAGGGAGACAGAGGUUGGUAGUUAGACAGAGGGUAGUAGGGAGACAGAGGUUAGUAGAGAGACAUAAUAGCUGGGAGACAGAGGUUGGUAGGGAGACAGAGGUUAGUAGGGAGACAUAAUAUUGGGGAGACAGAGGUUGGUUGUGAGACAGAGGUUAGUAUGGAGACAGAGUUUGGUAGGGAGACAGAGGUUGGUAGGGAGACAGAGGUUGGUAGGGAGACAGAGGUUAGUAGGGAGACAGAG